UACGGAAGGGGCAAGCGUUGUUCGGAAUCAUUGGGCGUAAAGGGCGCGUAGGUGGUUCUGUAUGUCUACCGUGAAAGCAUACAGCUCAACUGUAUUUUGUCGGUAGAAACUGCAGGACUUGAGGCUGGGAGGGGCUGGUGGAAUUCCCUGUGUAGCGGUGAAAUGCGUAGAUAUUGGGAGGAACACCAGUGGCGAAGGCGGCUCACUGGACCGGUACUGACGCUGAGGCGCGAAAGCGUGGGGAGCGAACAGG
rnacentral:rRNA from 1 species